CAACAACAUACGCAUAAAGCAACAAAAUAGCAGUAGCUACACAGCAACAACACGGCAAAAACUAACGAAACAACGACAAUAAUAUCCACGACGCCGAUCAGCAUUCGGACCACCAGAUAUUAGGAAAUCCUGUGGUUUUUCCCCCUCUUCUCUCUCCCCCUAGUCUCUUUCCAUCUCUAUCAACAUCAAUUGUCUUUUCAUCAAUUUUUUUUUCAAGAAAACCAAAGCCCAAUGCUCUACAAUUUCAAGAAAAAUGGGGGAAAACUCAAGAACCAUUGGAUUCAAGGUGUCACACCUUCAAUUCGACGGUUAUCAAAGUUUAAACCGGUGGAUCCAAGCCACUCCACCUCCAAUCCGUCACUUUUCUUCAAAUUGACCGAAAGAGCUUCAAGGAGCCAUUGCAAUCCAAUACUGCCUAUAAAAAAGGAGUUAUAUCCACCCCCUUGAAGGAGAGGGAAAAAAAAAAAGAAAAAAAACGAGUAAGAAAAAAAAGGUGACAAAGAAAUUGGAUUUCUUUUUUGGAGUUUUUGUCAUACUCUCCGAUUAACCAAGUUUCUAUUUCCUUUGCCUUAUUUUUCGAUCAUCAUUACUAAUCCCUCAUUCUGUCCAUAUCGCUCGCAUCUCGAAGUGGUGUGAAGACUAAUUGAGCUCGUCUUCACCGUUUCUACCUCAGAAAAGGGAGUAUACAGAAAAAUGCAAGAAAGAAGCUGUUGAUAAACAUCAGAUAAACAGGGGCACAAAAGGGGGCUAAAGUCCAUGGAAUUGGUCAAAAAUUGGACAGAUUUUUAAGGCUAAAGGGACCCAAUUUUCACUCUUCUCUAUUUACUUAUCCAUUCUAACUUAGUAUUUGUAUUUGCUUGAACACUUUAAUUAAUUAAUUUGUAUUUGCUUGAACAUUUUAAUUAAUUAAUCUAAGAUAAAUUCCUCAA